GAUGAACGCUGGCGGCGUGCCUAAUACAUGCAAGUCGAGCGAACGGACGAGAAGCUUGCUUUUCUGAUGUUAGCGGCGGACGGGUGAGUAACACGUGGAUAACCUACCUAUAAGACUGGGAUAACUUCGGGAAACCGGAGCUAAUACCGGAUAAUAUUUUGAACCGCAUGGUUCAAAAGUGAAAGACGGUCUUGCUGUCACUUAUAGAUGGAUCCGCGCUGCAUUAGCUAGUUGGUAAGGUAACGGCUUACCAAGGCAACGAUGCAUAGCCGACCUGAGAGGGUGCUCGGCCAACCUGGAACUGAGAAACGGUCCCGAAUCCUACGGGAGGCAGCAGUAGGGAAUCUUCCGCAAUGGGAGAAAGCCUGACGGAGCAACGCCGCGUGAGUGAUGAAGGGCUUCGGAUCGUAAAACUCUGUUAUUAGGGAAGAACAUAUGUGUAAGUAACUGUGCACAUCUUGACGGUACCUAAUCAGAAAGCCACGGCUAACUACGUGC
rnacentral:rRNA from 1 species